GAGAUUUUGGAGGGUCCCAUCAGAGAUCCAUUUGCCUCAGAAAGCCGAGCUCGUCUGGAUCGACCAUGGCCUGGGCCCCUCUGCUCCUCACGCUGCUGACUUACUGCUCAGGGGUCAGUUCGCAGCCCGUGGUGACUCAGGAGCCCUCGAUGUCGGUGGCCCCAGGAGGGGCUGUCACUCUGUCCUGCAGCCUGAGCACUGGAGCCGUCACCACCAGCAACUAUCCCUCCUGGUACCAGCAGAAACCAGGCUCUGCUACUCGGAUGCUUAUAUAUGAAACUAAUAAGAGACCCUCCGGGAUCCCUGCACGGUUCUCGGGGUCCAUCUCCGGUAACAACGCUGCCCUGACCAUCACCAGUGUCCAGGCAGAGGAUGAGGCUGAUUAUUACUGUUUGAUAUAUACGGGUAGCAGUGUUAGUAGGUCUCACAGUGAUCUAGGCAGAUGGGGAACUGAGACAAAAACCUCCCCUGUCUUCCCCUCUGACACGUCCAGACCUGUCUCCCAUCCCCCCUUUGGUUUUGCCAGUGACACUAGCCCCAGCUCCGACACCUGUCUCCGAGCCGAGUCCCUGCUGCCCUCAAUCUAG